rnacentral:rRNA from 1 species
AGUGAACGCUGGCGGUAGGCCUAACACAUGCAAGUCGAACGGCAGCACAGUAAGAGCUUGCUCUUACGGGUGGCGAGUGGCGGACGGGUGAGGAAUACAUCGGAAUCUACUUUUUCGUGGGGGAUAACGUAGGGAAACUUACGCUAAUACCGCAUACGACCUACGGGUGAAAGCAGUGGAUCUUCGGACCUUGCGCGAUUGAAUGAGCCGAUGUCGGAUUAGCUAGUUGGCGGGGUAAAGGCCCACCAAGGCGACGAUCCGUAGCUGGUCUGAGAGGAUGAUCCGCCAAACUGGAACUGAGACACGGUCCAGACUCCUACGGGAGGCAGCAGUGGGGAAUAUUGGACAAUGGGCGCAAGCCUGAUCCAGCCAUACCGCGUGGGUGAAGAAGGCCUUCGGGUUGUAAAGCCCUUUUGUUGGGAAAGAAAAGCAGCAGGUUAAUACCCCGCUGUUCUGACGGUACCCAAAGAAUAAGCACCGGCUAACUUCGUG